rnacentral:lncRNA from 1 species
GCAGGGUCACCAUUUCGCCGGUCUUGCUUGCUCAUGGUGGGAAAAGAGACUACAUGUCUCCGGUUGCGAACGAGCUAUGGUCUAGGGGUGUAGGGGUUAGGCAGAGGCACUAUCAAGUUAGGCCUCGUGUGCUGUAUGUAUGUACAAAGGGAUUAUUCUCUUUGUGUAGCUAAUAACGGCACGUUUUGCUACUGUAACCACCGCUACUUUAGUACCAAACUACGCAAAUUAAGAUGUUCCCUUCUCCAUCCUCUUCUCUCCAUGGGCAAUAUCUCCUCUUAUACGUGAU